rnacentral:rRNA from 1 species
UACGUAGGGUGCAAGCGUUGUCCGGAAUUAUUGGGCGUAAAGAGCUCGUAGGCGGUUUGUCGCGUCUGCUGUGAAAACUCGGGGCUUAACUCCGGGCCUGCAGUGGGUACGGGCAGACUAGAGUGCGGUAGGGGAGACUGGAAUUCCUGGUGUAGCGGUGAAAUGCGCAGAUAUCAGGAGGAACACCGGUGGCGAAGGCGGGUCUCUGGGCCGUAACUGACGCUGGGGAGCGAAAGCGUGGGGAGCGAACAGG